AUUGAACGCUGGCGGCAGGCCUAACACAUGCAAGUCGAACGGUAACAGGAAACAGCUUGCUGUUUCGCUGACGAGUGGCGGACGGGUGAGUAAUGUCUGGGAAACUGCCUGAUGGAGGGGGAUAACUACUGGAAACGGUCGCUAAUACCGCAUAACGUCGCAAGACCAAAGAGGGGGACCCUCGGGCCUCUUGCCAUCGGAUGUGCCCAGAUGGGAUUAGCUUGUUGGUGGGGUAACGGCUCACCAAGGCGACGAUCCCUAGCUGGUCUGAGAGGAUGACCAGCCACACUGGAACUGAGACACGGUCCAGACUCCUACGGGAGGCAGCAGUGGGGAAUAUUGCACAAUGGGCGCAAGCCUGAUGCAGCCAUGCCGCGUGUAUGAAGAAGGCCUUCGGGUUGUAAAGUACUUUCAGCGGGGAGGAAGGGAGUAAAGUUAAUACCUUUGCUCAUUGACGUUACCCGCAGAAGAAGCACCGGCUAACUCCGUGCCAGCAGCCGCGGUAAUACGGAGGGUGCAAGCGUUAAUCGGAAUUACUGGGCGUAAAGCGCACGCAGGCGGUUUGUUAAGUCAGAUGUGAAAUCCCCGGGCUCAACCUGGGAACUGCAUCUGAUACUGGCAAGCUUGAGUCUCGUAGAGGGGGGUAGAAUUCCAGGUGUAGCGGUGAAAUGCGUAGAGAUCUGGAGGAAUACCGGUGGCGAAGGCGGCCCCCUGGACGAAGACUGACGCUCAGGUGCGAAAGCGUGGGGAGCAAACAGGAUUAGAUACCCUGGUAGUCCACGCCGUAAACGAUGUCGACUUGGAGGUUGUGCCCUUGAGGCGUGGCUUCCGGAGCUAACGCGUUAAGUCGACCGCCUGGGGAGUACGGCCGCAAGGUUAAAACUCAAAUGAAUUGACGGGGGCCCGCACAAGCGGUGGAGCAUGUGGUUUAAUUCGAUGCAACGCGAAGAACCUUACCUGGUCUUGACAUCCACGGAAGUUUUCAGAGAUGAGAAUGUGCCUUCGGGAACCGUGAGACAGGUGCUGCAUGGCUGUCGUCAGCUCGUGUUGUGAAAUGUUGGGUUAAGUCCCGCAACGAGCGCAACCCUUAUCCUUUGUUGCCAGCGGUCCGGCCGGGAACUCAAAGGAGACUGCCAGUGAUAAACUGGAGGAAGGUGGGGAUGACGUCAAGUCAUCAUGGCCCUUACGACCAGGGCUACACACGUGCUACAAUGGCGCAUACAAAGAGAAGCGACCUCGCGAGAGCAAGCGGACCUCAUAAAGUGCGUCGUAGUCCGGAUUGGAGUCUGCAACUCGACUCCAUGAAGUCGGAAUCGCUAGUAAUCGUGGAUCAGAAUGCCACGGUGAAUACGUUCCCGGGCCU
rnacentral:rRNA from 1 species